rnacentral:rRNA from 1 species
ACGGGUGAGUAAUGCUUAGGAAUCUGCCUAUUAGUGGGGGACAACAUCUCGAAAGGGAUGCUAAUACCGCAUACGUCCUACGGGAGAAAGCAGGGGACCUUCGGCCUUGCGCUAAUAGAUGAGCCUAAGUCGGAUUAGCUAGUUGGUGGGGUAAAGGCCUACCAAGGCGACGAUCUGUAGCGGGUCUGAGAGGAUGAUCCGCCACACUGGGACUGAGACACGGCCCAGACUCCUACGGGAGGCAGCAGUGGGGAAUAUUGGACAAUGGGGGGAACCCUGAUCCAGCCAUACCGCGUGUGUGAAGAAGGCCUUUUGGUUGUAAAGCACUUUAAGCGAGGAGGAGGCUACCGAGAUUAAUACUCUUGGAUAGUGGACGUUACUCGCAGAAUAAGCACCGGCUAACUCUGUGCCAGCAGCCGCGGUAAUACAGAGGGUGCAAGCGUUAAUCGGAUUUACUGGGCGUAAAGCGCGCGUAGGUGGCCAAUUAAGUCAAAUGUGAAAUCCCCGAGCUUAACUUGGGAAUUGCAUUCGAUACUGGUUGGCUAGAGUAUGGGAGAGGAUGGUAGAAUUCCAGGUGUAGCGGUGAA